AUAAGGACAGCAGUUAAAAGGGGGUAUUUUUGGUCCUCAUGCAAAUAACUAAACAAUUCUCAUUUUUUGAAAGUUAGGUGCUGAAAAAGUAAAUCUAUUUAAAGUAACAAUCGUCCAAAUGUUCCUAAUUAAGAGUUUCAUUCAGUGCCUAUAUUACGGAUGUUUAUUUCUCCCCUAUAACAUGAACUAUUUAAAGUAAAGAGUCAUUUUAUCUCAUUUAUCUGAAUUUUUUUUAGCCAUACUUUUUUCUGUCGUAGCCAAAGAUUUCUCGAAUGUGCUUGGAUAUUUCUUCCUGAGGUUCUCCUUCAUCUUCAAUAAAAUCUUCCAUCUCAGAGUCAUAUUCAUCAUCUUCUUCCUCUUCAUCGUCUCGCUGCCUUUUGUAGCCAGAAGGGAAAGGGAACCUUUGAGGACCUGCCAACAGAAAAGACAUUACUUUGCUGUUGUUUUAUGAUUAACUCAGUUUAAUGAUGCGCUGCAUCUCUGAACAUGUUUUAGGAAGAUUUUACACCAUCCAAGAAUCCUAAAAGAAGAUACUAACUGAAGUGAACUGACUUGGAAUGAAACCAGCACUUCCUCCCUCUGCCACCAAUUUGGAUCUUCUCUGUUUAAAAUUCGAAGAAUUUCUCCUUUUGAAAACUUCAGUCCUGCUUCUUUGCAGGCUAUCAGGUUAUCAUAGUAUGGAUUAUAAUCAAAAUGACAUUUUACAAAUACCUGUUGAGGAAUAAUGGUAUCUCUAUAGCGUGGUAAAAUUUUUAGGGUGAUACUUCCACUAAUGUUUCAGUAACUCUUGUAACUCCUUUGGAUUGUUUCCAAUCUCAUGGCCAUUGACUUCUUUAAUGGUAUCUUCCUCAUGAAGGAGACCUCGUUGAUCUAUCAUUCCUCCAUGAAGGAUUCGGGCAAUUACCAGAUCAUUAUUUUCAACCUUGAAUGUUAUGCCCAAUGACUCCCCAGCUCUUUUGUGAAUACCAAGAAUAUGAAUAGCAUCUACUGGUAAUAACUGAUUAUUGAUAGAAUUAUUAAUUUUUGGGCUUGAUGGAGGUGAAUCAUAACACUUUGAUGCCACAAUAUCAUGGGCCUCCAAGAGUGACUAGAAGUGAGGCUCUUUGAGUAUACCAACCAGUUCUGCCACAUUUUCACCCACAUUUAUUAAAGCAGUGAUGUCUUCAAGAAUUUCAUUGACUAAUUCCAAACUAUUGUCACUGACAGCUUCUAGUUUUGAAUCUUCUAGCCUCUCAUGAGCCUGAAGGUUUUUUCACAUGAAGCUCACACACUGAUUCAAUGGUAGGAAAUAAUCUCACUUAGCAAGUGAUUUCACAAUAGGAUUCUCCAUAAUCCCCUUGAGGAAAAUUAGAUCUAUUUCUUCUGCUCCUGUAGAUGAGGGCAGCUCCAUAAGGUUAUCCAACACGUGCUGCAUUGCGGCUUGCACCUUGGCCGCCUCUGUGCCACCACUCCCCUACGCCCACCGCUGCUCUUCUCCCUCAGCUGCAGGUGCAGACUAGCAGCCCCAUCUACAAAUUUCUGGCUUGUAGUUGGGAAUUGGAAACGAGUGCCUCCACCCCGCAACUUGCUUCCCACUUCACCCUGGCUUGGGUCGCUGUCGCGCCACCGCCACUGCAUAGCCAGCCUCCACAGUUGUUUUUAACAUGCAUGGCUUGUCUCCCCAACUCAGGGUUUCUCAACCUCAAUACUACUGACCUUUUGUACAGGAUCAAUUCUUUGUUGUGGAGACUGUUCUAUGUGUACUGUAGAAUAUUUAGCAGCAUCCCUGGCAUCUACCCACUAGAUGCCAGUAGCAUCCCCUGCCCCCAGCUGUGGCAAACAAAAAUGUAUCCAGACAUUUCCAAAUGUCCCCUGGAGAGCAAAACCACCCCUAGUUGAGAACAUUAGUCUAGAUGAAUUAGGAAGUUUAAAGAAAGGAAACUUAUCUUUCGUUUAUAUUUAGAUUCUCUAUGGUACCUAACAAGUGCUUUAAACAAAUGCCUAUUAGCAGGAAGCAACCAUGACCUAGCAACUAGCAGGUGCCACCAAUGCUGUAUCUUUGGACAUUACGGAUUCCUAAAGGACCAGUAGGUAGGGCCUUGAUGCAAAAACACAAGGACAUAAGAAGCAAAAACACAAGGACAGUCUACAACAGUUCAUGGCACACAGUGAGUGCUUAAUAAAUAUUUGCUGAAUAAAUGAUGUACCAAAGUGCUUUAAGCUAGCACAAUUAAACUCUGAUCCUGAAGACAGGUCUCACUAGGCCUCAUGAAAAAAUAAAGUUUAAUCCAUCCAUUGAACUACAUAACACCUGUGCUCUCACCCUAUCUCACGAAUCACACAGUUAAGUUUAUUGCACUUGGGGACACUACUGGAGUAACACAGAGGGCCCUAGAUAAGUCUCUUUGUAAAGAAUUUUCCAAGUCAUAAUCACUGAAGAAACCAUCUGGCACAAGGUAGACAAAACAUUAGGAUUCUAUCAGCAAUAGAGUACAUUAAAGAACACACGGAAGGGUUCUCAGGAUCUCUGGAACAAACACACUCUCCAAUUUCCUAGUGACAAACAAAUACUCUCAGGGUAAGGGGCAAUCUUACCUUGGGCAGAUGUGUAGUUAGAUAGGGAAGGCUUCAUUCCAUUCAUCUGUCCAUUGCUGGACCGGCUAAUGAUAUUCUUGGAAGAAAUUGUUUCUGCCACAACAGUGCACUUGGGUUUUAAGGGGGGACCUGAGCUACUAACUGUUCGCCCAGGUGCCAAGCUGCUCACUGGUCUUCCAGGGCCUGAACUACUAACAGUCCGUCCAGCUGGAACCAAGCCACUUACUGAUCUCCCAGGGCCACUGACUAAUCGCCCCGGGGGGCCUGAACCACUAACUGUUUGCCGAAGGUCAUGUGGACUGCUCACAGGUCGCCCAGGGCCACCAGAGCGGCCUGCAGGUCUCCCAGAACCACCCAAGCCACUGAUGGGCCGCCCAGGGCCACUUGAGUUGCUUGCCGGUCGUCCAGGGCCACUUGGACCACUGACUGUCCGCCCAGAGGGAUAUGAGUCACUGGCUGGCUUCUUGGUCCCACUGACUGAUCUCUCAGAUCCUGAGCUGGAGCUGCCAUUCUGACGCCUAGGCACAGGGCCAGAAUUAACUGUGGGCCGAGCUGUCCCUGUGCUGGGCCGCCCAGGGGCUGAGUUGGAGCUGCUGUCUGGCUGCCUGACACCUAGACUCUUAGCCUUAUUGUGUGGAGUGACCAACGGCCCAGGCCUGGAAUGGCUAGGAUGAGAAAGAGGAGAUUUUUUGGCUUUAUGCUCAGUAACAGAUUUCUGAGUCCCACUGGCAGAAGUCUUUGGGACACUUGGUGAAUAGGUGCUGGAGUGGGGCUUCCCUGCCCCAUUGAAAACAGGUCUGUCACGGCCCUCACGAAGUGAGGGUUGGGAGCAAUUGCCAGAUCCUGCCUUGGUCCUCUCUCCUGGCAUGGAUUUGGAUGAUGACAAACCUAAGGGUUUUUCACUGGCUAUGUUGGGUCUGGAUUUCUUCUCAGCACAAGGAAGGGGAGUUCCCUUGGAAGGAUGCUUGUCCCCAGAACCUUUGCUAAGUUUUGUGCCCACAGUUUCUUUUUGAGAGGGUGCCUUUUUGGACACAGUUGGAGGUAGUCUUACAUCUGUCUCAGGUUUCUUUUUCCUAUGCUUUCGUUCAAGGAACUCUCGCUCCCUAAGUUCUUCCGCAGUCAUAGGCCGCUCUUCUUUUUUCUUCACUAUCUUUAUCUCCACUGGCUCAUACUGCUUUUUCUCAGCCAGCCUGAGUAGAUCAGUGAAGUUCAUGGGUGGUGGGGCACUUUUAAGGGAGACCUUUGGUUUGCUUUCAACUUUGGGAGGUUCUUGUUCUUCCUCAUACUCCUGCUCUGAUUCCUCUUGAUUGUAUUCUAAGAAUUCAUCCUCUUCUUCCAUGUCAUACUCUUGGUCUGUUCCCUGGCUGGUGUGGCUUUCCAUUGCCUGCCUCUUCUUUGACUUUUCCUCAACAGGAAUCCCAUCGUAACCAUGGAAAUUAUCCUUUGUCCUCUUAGCCAUAGCUCUUGCUUUCUUGUCAUGUUUUAGCUCAAUUCGCUUUUUCACUAGUUCUUCUUUUCUCCUUUUCUCCUCUAAGGCUAAAAGGGACAAAACAAAAACAUGUUAUUAUUUCAAGGUCUCAAUAUGCCAAGAUGCUUGUAUGCACAUCUGAAAUCAGUAGGUGGCCAAAACACAAGUGAUGCUCAAAUUACAGUCUGAAGACAUCUAGGAAUCAAAAUAAGGAAGUAAUUUUAAACAAGUAUCAAUUGAGUCAUCUUUACAUGCGUGGGUCACAUAUGGGUUUUUCUAAAUGACUAAGCAAGUGGAAGGCUUGGUUUUCAGCUUUAAAUAUAGAAAACUGUUAAUACCAAACAAAUAUACUAAUUAAGGGGAUAUUACUAUCCACUUAACAGUUGUUCUUAAUUAUGAAUCAAUGAAUAUGUAAACUUAUUAAAUCAAUUUCCUUGUUAUUUGCAGGAAGUAAAACUACUUCUUGAGCUUAAUGGUUUUCAGAAAGUGUCCCUAUUUUAUUCUUUUAGAUAGCACUCUCAAUAAUAAAAAAGUUAAAAUACAAAAUAGGAAAAAGCAGACCUAGAACCAAGGUCAAAGAAUGGCAUUCUUAUUGGGUACUCUCUAUGGUCAAUGAGAAGAUAUUCUCACUGUCCCCAAGAACCUUUUAAUUUAAGAGGGAAUAAAAGAUACUUCCAUGGUAAUUAUCAACAUAAGAACACAUAUAAGCCAUAAAUACAGUUGACCUAGACACCCACAAGGCAAAUCCAUUAGCCUUUUAUGUUUUCAAAUAUCCACUUGUCCACUUGUUCAGUACAAGCUAGAUGUGAAUGUAGAAAACUUUAAAAUUGAGAAUAAAAAUGUAGAUACAUACUUUUCUUCCUCAGCUCCUCUUCUUUCCUUCUGAGAAACGCCUGUACUGCAGCUGACUGGACACCCUUAACUUUUGGGUCUUUUUUGGGAGGCCCCACUGCCAAACUGUACCUUUUCUAAAAAUAAAAAUAGUAACAGUUAUAAGCAUUCAACUUACAAGUAUAUUGCCUAUUAGGUGUAAGGCACUGCCAAGCACUAACAGGUUUAAAUGUUGACUAAAAAUCCUGUUCUGAAUAAUGAAGAGAUUAUAUAGCCCACAUUAAAACUUAACUAUAAAAUUUCAGGCUAAAUAUGACUAUGCAUGGCUAUUUUUAGGCGCAGAGUUUCUCUGUAAUAUCCCAAAUAAUGCAUAAAUGAACAGUUCAAAAAGCCAUUGUCUUCAGGCUAUUUUCCACAAAGGCACCUGGACUGAGUGACUAAAAGAUAACCGCUAAAAGACUAAAAGAGAAUGGAUUAUUUGAGGACUGUAUGCUUUAAAAUUCUGGUAAAAAAAAUUAGUUUUCCUCAGACACCACAGAACUAAACAUUUCAAGGUCCAUCUUUUCAAAUAAAAUAAACAAGCAUUUUAUCUCCUAACUACCGCAUUCCAGAUGAUUUUUUAGUAGGGACUCACAGCUAUGUACAUAAUUUUGUUCAGAACACUGAAGCAUCAAGAUUUAAGUUUGA